ensembl:lncRNA
GGUAGUACGUGGUGUAAUAGGGUAGCGCAUGGUGUAAUAGGGUAGCGCGUGGUGUAACAUGGUAGUACAUGUGUAAUAGGGUAGCGCGUGGUGUAACAUGGUAGUACAUGGUGUAAAGAGGGUAGUGCAUUGUGUAACAUGGUAGUACAUGGUGUAAUAGGGUAGCGCGUGGUGUAAUAGGGUAGCGCGUGGUGUAACAUGGUAGUACAUGGUGUAAGAGGGUAGUGCGUGGUGUAAGAGGGUAGUGUAAUGCAUUGUGUAACAUGGUAUAACAUGGUGUAAUAGAGUAGCGCGUGGUGUAACAUGGUAGUACAUGGUGUAAUAGGGUAGUGCAUAGUGUAACAUGGUAGUACAUGGUGUAAGAGUAUAGUGCACAGUGUAAGGCUCUUCAUCUCCCUCCACUGGCUUCCGGUAGCCGCCCGUAGCAAAUUCAAUGCAUUGUUGCUCACGUACAAGACCUUGUCUGGAACAGCACCACCCCACCUCAACACUCCUUGAAGUUUAUGUUCCCUCACGCAACCUGCGCUCGGUUAACCACCGACGCCUGGUAGUGCCUACUCAGCGAGGCAUGAGGUCCCUUUCCAGAACCUUCACACUGACUGUCCCUCAGCGGUGGAAUGAACUUCCAACCUCAACCCGGACAGCAGAAUGUGUCACUUAUCUCCAAAAAACGGCUAAAGACCCACCUCUUCCGUGAGCACUGAACUAUAACCCCUACGUAACCCUAGCUAAGUAUUUUUUUUCCCUGAAUACGGUCGGAAGGUCUUUUUUAGGUGGGAGAUACAGGCUUCAUGUUUACUUUCCUGCACAGUGUGCUUGAUUGAACUGAUUGGCCAAUAGCCAAAAAUGUGCAGCAUUCCGGAAACCGCUAACCUUCAACAAAGCGGUGAAUCUUAAGCACAAACGCUGUUUGCCUGUGGUUAGUCACUUUAAGCUGCUUCACACCGUUUGACCUGAAAAGAGCCCCAGCUGCAGAUGGAAUCGCUCUGUCUUUCCUUCCUUCCUCUCCCACUCUCCGUAAGAGCAAUCGGAGGGGAAACGGACGCGGAGGAAUGCGCUGAAGAAUCCGGAUGUCCGUUCCCAGACCCGACAUGCCACUGUGCAUCCUCAGCAGCAUUUUUAUGCUUAUUCUUUUUGGCAGACGGCUUUUAACCGAGACACGUUACGAGCGAAAGAGGAUAGAGGCCAAGCACAAAGCUGAUACGUUCUCGCUCAAGGGCGCAACUCUGGUAGAUCUUGGACUUGGCCUCACCGCCUUGUGGUCACUAAUAGAGAACUUUGACGGCGCUCCGACUGCCUCCCUCACUGGCAACAGUACAAUCCAGUACAGGUCAGGUCUGAUUUUAAGAAUCCAGAAUCCAGAGAUGCCAAAUUGUACAGUUUAGUCUGGAGUCAUAUGAAAGACUUUUGGCAGCGCUUAUUUUGGCUUCCGACGUAAUCUAUAUCAAAUUCGACCUGUGGAUUGACAAGCCUCGGGCUUGUGAGCCAAUAGAAACCAAGUGGGCGGGGUUGUGGUCUCUUCGGUCCCUAAAAAUUGGAGGAACUCUUACUAAAAAAAAAAGCCACCAAAUCCACCAACAUGUGCAAGGGCUUUUUGUGGUUGCGAUGUAUUUUAUUCUCCCCGCGCGCUUGGAUUUUCUCGUUAGAAUAUCGGCACCUCGGCGAAUCCGACCCGGAGUCGCUCGGUCCUUCAGAGAUACCCGCACAUUAUAUUUAUCCGUCGGUGAGCGGUAAUUAAAUGCCGCGAUGCGGAUCGACCUCGGCAGAGUACGAGCUAACGCGGGAUCGCUUUCCCGGGUUUCUCCGUCGACGGACUCAUUUCGACCCGAAAUUCACCGCGGUAAUUCACCGUGACAUGCUUCCCCUCGAAGCAAACCGAUUCCGAAAUCUCCCCCGUCUCUUUCGGGUUCCUCUUUGAACGCGUGGCGAUUAUCUCGUAGUUAUUGCUUUUCUCAAACAGAGGAAGUUUGCAGUGAAGUCACUGGCAGAACAGGGGAAACUGAAGUGAAGUCACAGGCACGACACUUACUCGCCGUCACUCUGCAUAAACGAAAAAAACACACACACACACACACACAUCAGAGAGGAGAUUUGUGCUGACGUAGGCCGUGGUAGAGGAGUUCCACGGAGAGAAAUGUGAGAGUUUAUUCGUUAGAUUAGAACUCUUUGAACUGGACACCAGGUGGACUUUGAGAGGUUCUGCUGUUUCUCUGGAAUGUUACAAACGUGCUAAAGACUUCCCCUGGUCUUCCGUGGGAGUGCUGAACAGGGGCUUUCUACUGCGUCCAGUAAAAUCUGCUACUUCCUUUUUACAGAUUAUAUCACAUAUGUACAGAGUUCACAUCAGGAAGUGUGCCUUCGUCGGAACAGUCGUUUGCGAUUGGAUUAAAACUGAACGUCAGUAUUUUUUUAAUUUUUUUUUGUCUUGCUUCACUUAUUUGGACUCGCGGUGGAAUACUCGCGGUCUUUCUUCAGUCAGACAAGGAGAUGCUCUCUGGAUUGGACGUGGGAAACAAGACUCUGGACUGAACAUCAGAUCAAAAGAAGUCUGACUUGUAGGUACUCCCUAGACUUAAAUCCAGUCUUGCUUAGAUAAACCAAGAGGCAUGCUUUGAUAAACGCCAGCUUUCAGUAGUUAGAUCAGACGAUACUCUCUGAGCUAAACACGACGUUUAUUCUGGACCGGACCCCGGAUCCGAAGUGUGAGAACUGCAGGUCGGGUCCGGCGUUAAAGAGGUAGGCUUUCUGGACCGAACGGCGUUCUUUGAUUUGAAGAUAUUACGCUUUGAGGAGUUAGAUCAGAUUCUUUCUGGACCGAACGGCGUUCUUUGAUUUGAAGAUAUUACGCUUUGAGGAGUUAGAUCAGAUUCUUUCUGGACCGAACGGCGUUCUUUGAUUUGAAGAUAUUACGCUUUGAGGAGUUAGAUCAGAUUCUUUCUGGACCGAACGGCGUUCUUUGAUUUGAAGAUAUUACGCUUUGAGGAGUUAGAUCAGAUUCUUUCUGGACCGAACGGCGUUCUUUGAUUUGAAGAUAUUACGCUUUGAGGAGUUAGAUCAGAUUCUUUCUGGACCGAAUGUUAGUCAUGAGGAAAAAAAAAAAACGUUAUCAUGAGAAAUAUUCUCAGCUGUAUUCUCAGGAACAAGCGCUGUUUAUUUCUUUUAAAGGUUUAGACAAGGAGACGCCGUCUGAUCUGGACACCGGGCAUCUGUUUUAAAGAAUUAGACAAAGUAGCGGGCUGAACGCUAUAGUUUUACGAACGGUUAUAGACUUCAUUUCAGAGACGUCGAUUAGGACCGUUCUAGACUGUAAAGAAUUUCUGAGAGGAUUGACCAUGAGACACUCUCUGGAUCGGACGCCUUUGUUCAUUGCGAGGAUUUCGACAAGGAGACGCUGUCUGAUCUGAUCAAACACCGCCGUUUAUUUGAAGUAAUUUGCUCGGGUUCUUUCCGGACACCCGGUUUUGAGAAGUAUCAGGAAAAAACAUUCUCAAGUGUAUUCGCUGGACCAAACAUCAUUGUUUAUUGUACGGUUUUAGACAAGGAGACACAGUCUGAUCUGAACCAUAGCUUACUAGGUUUAAAUACUAAACUUGCACUGUGGCAGUUGUACUGUAUACGUUGCCAUGAUACUCUACACACAGAAACCCAACAGGACCCCGGCUAAUCUUUAAAGAAAAGAAUUUUCAUUUGUUUAUACUGGUUGGAAAUGUCAGAUAAGUGGUUGAAAUGGACGAGUCCAGAACGGUUCUAGACGGUUAAACCCGGGAGAUGUUCUGGACUCAACUAGGGGAAAGCCGAACAAGUGUAACUAGAAAAAAUAUUCGGAAAAAGAGUGGAUUGAGGAAUUAGACCUGUACAACAGCUCUGGGUUUUUUUUUGUUUUUGAGACCGUUAGACUGGAAUGAAGCAGGAGAAAGUCUCACGACUGGAUAACAUUUCUGAGAAGAUGUUAUCUGAGGUGACCAUGAGACCAUGUCUGGACUGAACAUCAUUGUUUAUUUGAAGCAUUUAGACGAGGAGACGCUAUCCGAUCCGAUCACUGUCGAUUGUUUUAAAGAAUUAGAUUAGAAGAAACACUAGUGGACUGAAUGCUAGUUGGAGGAAUGUUAGACCAGAAGAAGAGUCCUGGAUUUUUAUUUUUAUUUAUUUAUUUAUUUAUCUAUCUAUUUUUGAGACAGUUAGACCAGGAACAUGUUCUGAACUGGACCAGAACUCAUGGCUGUGAACAAUUUCGAAGUUUCAUCAUACGAUACUGUUUAGACUGACCACCAUCGUUCACGUCGGAACGUUUCGAAUUAUGAGACACUGUCCGAUCUGAUCCGAUCACUGAAGUUUCUUCUGAGGAAUUAGAUCAGAAGGUGCGUCUAAAUGAAACCAAGUUCUUGGAAUCAGACCAAAAGAACAGUACCGGGCUUUAUUCUUUUCCAGAAUAUUCUAGACUUAUAAACCAUAACAGAGUUUGACCAUGUGACCAACGAGGCUCUGGCUCGAACUGUGUGUUUUAGGUGAGAUAUUCUCAGGUGUAUAAUCUGGACUGAACACUCGCUAUCGGAUCUGAUUAACACACCGCGCUUGUAUUUUGAGGAAUUUGAUCGGAAGAUUAUUUCUAAACUGGAGCUGAAGGUUAGACCGAGGACACACUCAUUUUAUGAAUUUUAGACCGGAAGAAUGGUUCCGGACUAGGAAAAUAUUCCGUAGAGAACGUAAACUGAGACCUUUUUUUUAUUUUUUUUAUCUUGACCGAACACCGGUGUGUUUUUUUUUAACGAGUUAGACAAAGAGACGCGAUCUAAUCUGAUCUGAUCUGAUCCGAUCUGAUGAGGAGUUUGAUCAGAAGGUUAUUUCUAAACUGAAAGCAGUUUUAUGAGAAACUCGUUUUAGGAGGUAGACCAGAAGAACGGUUUGGACUUUUUUUAAAAAAAAUAAAAACAAACAAAAAAAAAACGAUACAGUUAGACUUCGGAAAACAUUCUGGACUGAACCAGCGUUCGCGUUUGUAAAUCCUUUUCUGAGAAGAUCGGUCUCGCGGGACUGAGCACCAUUGUUUAUUUUGACGAUUUAGCCGAACCCAAUCUGGUUUGGUGUUUGUUUCGAGCGGUUAGAUCUAGAUUGACGAGCAUUUCUGAGGAAUUAGCGUGAACGAUUGAACUCCAGGAGACUCAGAUCUGUUUCUUUCCUGCUCUACAGGGCCAACUGGAAGUGACUCUUUCUCAGCCGGCUCGAUCAGCCAAUGGCACGCCCAGGUGAGUUCACCUCAUUUAUUGUUCCAUCGAGGCUGAAACUUUACGGCGCACACUUACCCAGCCAGCUCGAGAGCGCACGAGAGGCUGUGGGAUCACGACGCGAAGGUUUUUACGACUAAACGCGGGCCAGAAAUGGUUUUUGUCAUGUGAGUUCUUUGGACAAUGAAAGUGAGAGGUGUAGAAUUUCCCUGCUUUGCUGCGGGACUCGCUUUCAACCUCUGAAAAUCUCCAACUUCCUUUUUGAGCGACAGAUAAAACAACCACAUGACGUGUUAGACAGUAUUACACACGCACACACACGCGCGCGCGCGCGUGCGUGCGUUUUUACAAGGGGACAUAAAGCGGUCGCACCAUAUGACACGUAUUUCACUCAGACAUACGUUUAAAUGUUUAACGUGUAGAUUCAGUUACUCAUUCUGAACUGGCAUUUUAAGACUGUAAGUACAUUAAUAUACACACAUGUACAUACACACACACACACACACACACACACACACACACACACACACACACACACACACACUCCUUCAUAGGACAGGAGCUGUAGAUAACAGAAAUUUAAAUAAAUCAUGUCACAGAUUCAAUACUGUUGCCAAGGUGUGUGUGUGUGUGUGUGUGUGUGUGUGUGUAAGAAAGUGAAGCCAGACAGGAUAUCCAGCACGUAGACUCAGUUAGUGCAUGGUGAGUCAGGGUGUUUAACGGCCAGCAGAGGUGAGUGGAUAAGUUACUGUACACACUUAACACACACACACACACACGCACACACACACAAACACACACAAGUACACAUGCAUACACGCGUCCUUUUGCUCUCUGCUCCUUGGCUUCUCUGUGGAAUGCUCUGGCACGGCUCUUAAGUAAACAGCGGUAUUUUUAGUACGGGUCGAACAGAGCCUUUCUUAAUCACUGUCUCCCCGUAUUCCCACCAUCCCCGAGUGAGAGAAAGACAGACAGGAAAAGACAGACGAGAGAGAGAGACAGGCGUUUUAAAAAAGGCAUUCAUAGAUAGUGGGCGGAGAUUACAAAUUGACCUACCAGUACCCUAACAUGUUUCAUAAAGCUGCUGAGUAAAGUGUCUCUCCAGGACAGAACAGGACCUUUCUAGGUCACGUACACAUUUUUAACGCGAUUAUCUCUCAGGAAAAAAAGGGGAAACAUUUGGUAUGAAGGCCAAUCAGUUGCGUAAUAAUCGUUUAAAUAGAAGAAUAUACAUUAUGCCGAUUUCUGAAUCCACCCGAACGUGAAGAACACAGAGCUGUUGCUCAAUGAAGGAUUACAAAAUUCUGUAAAUAAUUACUUAAAAAUAUCUAUUUUUUUAAAAUUUAAUCAAGACUUUAUUUUCUGUUUUUGGUCAUCAGUCCAAAUAUCUAGAACAUAUCGCUGUAAACAUGGCAUGUUUGUUUCACUUCUUGUAGGUGUGUCGAUUUAGAAUCACUUACAAUUGAAUUGCACUGUAGGUGAGUCGAUUCGGACUCACUUGCAAUCGAAACGCACUGUCGGUGGGUCGAUUCAGAAUCGCUUGCAAUAGAAUUGCACUGUCGGUGAGUCGAUUCAGAAUCGCUUGCAAUAGAAUUGCACUGUAGGUGAGUCGAUUCAGAAUCACAUGCAAUCGAAUUGCACUGUAGGUGAGUCGAUUCCGAAUCGCUUGUAAUCGAAUAGCACUGUAGGUGAGUCGAUUCAGAAUCACUUGCAAUUGAAUUGGGCUGUAGGUGAGUCGAAUCAGAAUCACUUUGUCACUGGAAUUGAAAUGCGCUGUAGGUGAGUCGAUUCAGAAUCACUUUCUCACUACAGUCAAAUUACGUGAUAGGUCAGUCGAUUCAGAAUAAUUUUCUCACUGGAAUUAAAUUACACUGUAAGUAAGUCUAUUCAGAAUCAUUUUCUCACUACAAUCAAACUGUGCUGUAGGUGAGUCGAUUCAGAAUAAUUUUCUCACUGCAGUCAAAUAACACUGUAAGUGAGUCGAUUCAGAAUCAUUUAUGACUGUAAUCAAACUGUGCUGUAGGUGAGUCAAUUCAGAAUCACCGACACACCAACAGUAGAGUUCCUACAUAUAAAAGUUGUCACGAUAUCCUUGAUAUUGCAGAAAUGUGUAUUGUGACAUAACUUAUAACAAUAUUGAUAAUAUAUCAUCAUAUCACCCAGCCCACAUAGGGUGUAACAUAAUGGUGGUGAACCUACACAGUGCACUUGAUUCCCAAUAAAACACCAUCUGAGGUUCAGCCACAAUAGACGAGCGAUUUGCUGGAACUCUAUCUGUUAUCGGACAAAAGCUUUGUUAUAUACAAGCAAAGAAACUCAAAUACAUAAUUAUAAUUAUACAAGAAUACGUAAGAAGAUAAUUUGUGUACAAAUUGAACUCUCCAGGAUCUCUGAUAAUAUGCAGGUCUGUGUUUAGGCUGUUGUUUUAAUAAGUGCAGAUUUGUUGUGGAAAACAGCUGGAAUACGGCGAUGUUCUCGGUUUAGCUAGAAUUCGGGAGAGCAGAGGGAGAGGUUAUGUGUAAAAAUCACAGCUGGGGCUCAUAUUGACCCACGGCUGCACGACGGUGGUGGAGGAGGAGGAGGAGGAGGAGGAGUGGUAGUAGUAAGGUGGGGGAGGUGAACAAAGCCCGAGCCCACUCUCCCUGCCUGCAGCCGCCCACUCGUUUCCCAGAGUCCUCGGCAGCGCCGUGUCGCCCGCGAGGGGCCCGCGAGGCGACUUCCUGUCAGAGAGCGACGGCGAAGCAGGAAGCAAUUUGUCAUGCAGGAGCAACGCGCACAGGGAACGUGGAUCGCUCCGAACCGAAACAUGGCACUCUUAAAAGGACACGGGUGAGAAGGACAGGAACGGGAACUCGCACGACGAGAACAAACGAGCGGCGCAGAGAACGCAAGCUCGCCACCUUGUUUUUUUGGGGAAGUGAAAGCAAACGGAAAAUCCUCCACAGUCCAUAUAGAUCCCGAACACCUUUCACCCUUCCUCCCCCGUACAUCUCUCUCUCUCUCUCCCUUUCUCCUCCACCAUCCAGCAUGAAAUCUGAGCGAUAUUAAUGCUGCCAGAGCUGUAAAGUUGUGGUCUGUGCGUCUUUUCUCUUUGGAGCGGAGCACACGCUAAGCAGAACCAUAUGUGCGCCCCAUAUGAACAGGAAACUGCUGGAAAUAAAGAAAGAAGGGAGGAGGCGCAGGGUGGAAGAGGAGGGAGCGAGUCUAGGUUCUGUGUACCCGCUGUAAACUCGGUGUCUCUGUUUAGUCAGUAACUAGAGCACGUUACUGACCCAGUUUUUCAUUAUUGGGGACACACACACACACACACACACACACACACACACACACACACUAAUUAAUGCUUAGCUUCGAAAACAGCAACUCUUCCUAUUUAAGCCUCCAACACACAUUGAAUACAAAAUGGCUUCCUAAUCACAUAAUCCAGUCGAUCAUGUUGAAUUCUUCGUUCUGAUUGGUCGGAAAGUGUUUAACGUUCUAUAAUAGCAGCUCUGAGAGCAGGCUGUAAACGAGUCAGUAACGAAUAUGUUUAUGGUGUAAACGUCGCUAUGUGACAAAGGAAAUGUCGAUACGGUGACGUUUUCUUCACGGAAGGAGUCUCCGGUGUCAGUGCUCUGUAGGAUUUUGCGGCAAGCAAUCUUGUGCAAUUUUGCCAGUUCAAGUCCAUUUUAAAAAAGCACAAAAAAAAACUCCAAAUGCAACAUAUUUGGCUCGGGGAAGUCACGGGAAAGUUUUCCCGACCGAGAACGUCGCGCUUUCUGGUUUCUCUGGAACAUGACAAGCGGCGUGGGGUUUUAUUCGUUUAUUUCUCGUCUCAACGUCCGAAGAAUAGAAAGCGACCGGUGAGGGAACGGCUGCCAUUAAACGAAGCCCUUAAAGGGUCGAAGGUCACCGGGCAAUGCUCGGAGACCUCUGCAGGUAGUGUGUGGACUUGUGUGUGGGAUUAUUACACGUCGCUCAAGGCUAACGGUUUAAUCGUCGAGCCGUUGAUAGAGAUCAGAUUUUAGCCCUUCAUGACCAUGCGUCACCGUUUAGAAUCAGACCCGUCCAAGCCAAGCAGCGCUCGGUCUAAUCGUUAACGACAGUGUCGUUUAACGCGUCGCGUUUUUUUCUGGAGCCGCGUCUCAUUCACUGACCGGCCGCGUGUCGGGUAAAAGCGCAGGUCCUCACCGAAUCGUCUGAAGGCCACCACGUCCGCACGUCACGCUCGGCCUUUAAAAAAACAACAGGACAAACACACACUCAGGCCUGGCCCCGAUUUUAUCAGGCUUUAAAGGCGUGGACGCGUUUUGUUUUUUUUAAUAGAGCGGACACACGUAUAUCGGUAUAUAACCGUGCGUGCGGAUUCAACUUACAAUAGUCGAUUGUGUUUGCGUGUUAUCAGUCAGUCGCACAUUCAAACCGAAGUCCGGCGCUGUUUAGACAGACAAGCGUGUCGGGGAAAAGGUCAGAGGUCAGCACGGAGCGGGAGGUUUUUCUGAGUGCGCACGCUGAUAAUUGGUCACGACACGGACGGAAUAAAAACGCGAAAGGCAACCGUGUCAAGAUCCUUUCUUCCUCCACACUUUGGCCUCUCCAUCACUUUGGUAUGACGUUACAUAGCUUCUUUGUGUGACAGAGAAAGAACGUGUUCGUUAUUAUGUUUAGCAUCCGGCACGUCCCCGGGCGAGUCCCUGUGAAUGAGCCGCUACCGUGGAAACGCUAACGUAUCGGAACUACCGUCAGAGCUGCAGUUAUCGAAGACGAAUCCAUACCUUCUAACCAAUCAGCGCUGUGGUAGGAAUUGCAUACAAUGGAAACCAGUGGUAUUGUUAGCGGUGUCGCUACGCUCGAGUACGACGCAGAAAGCAUCUGUCUUCUAAAGUGUCCUGUCAAAUAUGAAGCACAAACUGUGUUUUUUUUUUUUUGUCUCCGUUAUGGGACGGCGAGAUAGAAUAUAGACUAGACUGUUGUGCGUCCGUGGUCUAGACAGCGGUUAAAAGCAUCCGAGCUCAGUCUUUAUCGGCUCUCAAUCUGCUCUGCGUUCUGUGUGUCAUCGACUCUACUCUUUCACAAUCCCUCCACCUCUCGUCCUCUAUUCUGCUCCGUAAGCCUUGUACGUAGAGGCAUACGUAUUUGUCGUGCCUCUAAAAGAAACACGGACGGGUCACAGCGUCUUUCUUAGACACGCGCUAACGCUAUCGUAACGUAUAAUAGUAGCUAGCGCGGACAGCAUGGUUCAUUCGCGUUCGUUUCUCCAUUCUGGGAUUAUGCUAACGCUAGGUCAAGUCCAGCCCCGUGUUUUCAAGCGGUGACCCGAGGCAGCAUUUUCCCGCCGCUCUCAUUUAGCCGGCUCGCUAGUUAGCCAGCAAAGCAACACUUCAUACAGUCAUAUUUUCAUACAGAAGAUAUCUCGGCUUCGUUCUCAGCUUUUAGUUCGUUAGCUAGCAUGCGUAAGAUGAGCAGUAGCUAGUAAAACCUUCUGGGUGUUCCAGAAUCAGGCUAGCAAAAAAAAAAAAAAAGUCGUUAGCAUGUAGAAGGGACGUGUAUACUUUCACACAGGGGGUUACCGGUUAUCGAAUCACGGACGUCCUGGACGUUCAAACGCAGCUAAACAAUUUAUUAGCAAUUCAUAGUGAUGACGUAGCCAGCUAGCGCUCGAUAGCGUUCCGGCUAACUUACAGAGCUGCAAAUGAUCCUUUGAAGCAUGGACAGUAAUGUUAGCUCGUUUUAACGUGAUCGGAGGUUUCAGGGGUGAAAAAAAAAAGGGAA